rnacentral:rRNA from 1 species
CCUACGGGAGACAGCAGUGAGGAAUAUUGGUCAAUGGGCGGAAGCCUGAACCAGCCAAGUAGCGUGUGGGAUGAAGGCCCUACGGGUCGUAAACCGCUUUUGCACGGGGAUAACACCCUCCACUUGUGGAGGUCUGCAGGUACCGUGCGAAUAAGGGCAGGCUAAUUCCGUGCCAGCAGCCGCGGUAAUACGGAAGGCCCGAGCGUUAUCCGGAUUCAUUGGGCUUAAAGGGAGCGUAGGCGGGCGUUCAAGUCAGCUGUAAAAUCGCGCGGCUCAACCGCGCCCCGCAGUUGAAACUGGACGCAUUGAGUUCACAACAGGCAGGCGGAAUUCGUGGUGUAGCGGUGAAAUGCAUAGAUAUCACGAGGAACCCCGAUUGCGAAGGCAGCCUGCCGGGGUGCGACUGACGCUGAGGCUCGAAGGUGCGGGUAUCAAACAGGAUUAGAUACCCUUGUAGUC